rnacentral:rRNA from 1 species
CGUGGAUAACCUGCCUUGGAGUGGGGGAUAACCUGGGGAAACUCGGGCUAAUACCGCAUACGUUCUCAGCUCUAUGGAGCUGAGAGGAAAGUUGGCCAAUUCUUGAAAGCCAACGCUCUUGGAGGGGUCCGCGUCCGAUUAGCUAGUUGGUGAGGUAAUGGCUCACCAAGGCUGCGAUCGGUAGCCGGCCUGAGAGGGUGAUCGGCCACACUGGGACUGAGACACGGCCCAG